rnacentral:rRNA from 1 species
UUACUGGGCGUAAAGCGCACGCAGGCGGUUGGAUAAGUUAGAUGUGAAAGCCCCGGGCUCAACCUGGGAAUUGCAUUUAAAACUGUCCAGCUAGAGUCUUGUAGAGGGGGGUAGAAUUCCAGGUGUAGCGGUGAAAUGCGUAGAGAUCUGGAGGAAUACCGGUGGCGAAGGCGGCCCCCUGGACAAAGACUGACGCUCAGGUGCGAAAGCGUGGGGAGCAAACAGGAUUAGAUACCCUGGUAGUCCACGCUGUAAACGAUGUCGACUUGGAGGUUGUGCCCUUGAGGCGUGGCUUCCGGAGCUAACGCGUUAAGUCGACCGCCUGGGGAGUACGGCCGCAAGGUUAAAACUCAAAUGAAUUGACGGGGGCCCGCACAAGCGGUAAUCGAAUU